rnacentral:rRNA from 1 species
UACAGAGGUCUCAAGCGUUGUUCGGAUUCAUUGGGCGUAAAGGGUGUGUAGGUGGCGCCGUAAGUCGGGUGUGAAAUUUCGGAGCUUAACUCCGAAACUGCAUUCGAUACUGCGGUGCUUGAGGACUGGAGAGGAGACUGGAAUUCAUGGUGUAGCAGUGAAAUGCGUAGAUAUCGAUAAGGAAGACCAGUGGCGAAGGCGAGUCUCUGGACAGUUACCGACGCUGAGGCACGAAGGCCAGGGGAGCAAACGGG